rnacentral:rRNA from 1 species
AGUGAACGCUGGCGGUAGGCCUAACACAUGCAAGUCGAACGGCAGCACAGUAAGAGCUUGCUCUUACGGGUGGCGAGUGGCGGACGGGUGAGGAAUACAUCGGAAUCUACUUUUUCGUGGGGGAUAACGUAGGGAAACUUACGCUAAUACCUCAUACGACCUACGGGUGAAAGCAGGGGAUCUUCGGACCUUGCGCGAUUGAAUGAGCCGAUGUCGGAUUAGCUAGUUGGCGGGGUAAAGGCCCACCAAGGCGACGAUCCGUAGCUGGUCUGAGAGGAUGAUCAGACACACUGGAACUGAGACACGGUCCAGACUCCUACGGGAGGCAGCAGUGGGGAAUAUUGGACAAUGGGCGCAAGCCUGAUCCAGCCAUACCGCGUGGGUGAAGAAGGCCUUCGGGUUGUAAAGCCCUUUUGUUGGGAAAGAAAAGCAGCAGGUUAAUACCCCGCUGUUCUGACGGUACCCAAAGAAUAAGCACCGGCUAACUUCGUG